AUGAACGCUAGCGGCAGGCUUAACACAUGCAAGUCGAGGGGUAUAGUAGCAAUACUAGAGACCGGCGCACGGGUGCGUAACGCGUAUGCAACCUACCUUUUACAGGGGAAUAGCCCAGAGAAAUUUGGAUUAAUGCCCCAUGGUAUAAUUGAAUGGCAUCAUUUAAUUAUUAAAGUUCCAACGGUAAAAGAUGGGCAUGCGUCCUAUUAGCUAGAUGGUAAGGUAACGGCUUACCAUGGCUACGAUAGGUAGGGGUCCUGAGAGGGAGAUCCCCCACACUGGUACUGAGACACGGACCAGACUCCUACGGGAGGCAGCAGUGAGGAAUAUUGGACAAUGGGCGCAAGCCUGAUCCAGCCAUGCCGCGUGCAGGAAGACGCAUCUAUGGUGUGUAAACUGCUUUUGUACGGGAAGAAACACUCCGACGUGUCGGAGCUUGACGGUACCGUAAGAAUAAGGAUCGGCUAACUCCGU
rnacentral:rRNA from 1 species